CUCCGACACAGGUGAUGAAGAUGACGAAGAAGAGGAUGAGUAUACUUGUUCAUCUUCACAAUCUGAAGGCGAGAAUGGAUGGACCCAGGAACUGCUUGAUUCACUUAUGGAUCAUUUGAAUGCACAUGUAAAAGAAGAACCACAGGAAGAACCAGCUGGUGUUGAUACUCCACAUGCAGAAGAACAACCAUAUGGUGAUGAUGAACCACAUGCACAGGAAGACCCAGCUGGUGUGGUUGAACCCACAUGCUCUUUGAUGACCCACUAA